rnacentral:rRNA from 1 species
GAUGAACGCUGGCGGCGUGCCUAAUACAUGCCAGUCGAACGCUGAAGGAAGGAGCUUGCUCUUUCCGGAUGAGUUGCGAACGGGUGAGUAACGCGUAGGUAACCUGCCUGGUAGCGGGGGAUAACUAUUGGAAACGAUAGCUAAUACCGCAUAACAGUAGAUGUUGCAUGAUAUCUACUUAAAAGGUGCAAUUGCACCACUACCAGAUGGACCUGCGUUGUAUUAGCUAGUUGGUGAGGUAACGGCUCACCAAGGCGACGAUACAUAGCCGACCUGAGAGGGUGAUCGGCCACACUGGGACUGAGACACGGCCCAGACUCCUACGGGAGGCAGCAGUAGGGAAUCUUCGGCAAUGGACGGAAGUCUGACCGAGCAACGCCGCGUGAGUGAAGAAGGUUUUCGGAUCGUAAAGCUCUGUUGUAAGAGAAGAACGAGGGUGAGAGUGGAAAGUUCACACUGUGACGGUAUCUUACCAGAAAGGGACGGCUAACUACGUG